UACGGAGGGUGCAAGCGUUAAUCGGAAUUACUGGGCGUAAAGCGCACGCAGGGCGGUCUGUUAAGUCAGAUGUGAAAUCCCCGGGCUUUAACCUGGGAACUGCAUUUGAAACUGGCAGGCUUGAGUCUUGUAGAGGGGGGGUAGAAUUACCAGGUGUAGCGGUGAAAAUGCGUAGAGAUCUGGAGGAAUACCGGUGGCGAAGGCGGCCCCCUGGACAAAGACUGACGCUCAGGUGCGAAAGCGUGGGGAGCAAACAGG
rnacentral:rRNA from 1 species